UGCGGUUAUACAAAAAUUAAAUUAAUUUCUUUUAGGAUUUAAUAAAUAAAAAUUUAUUUAAUAAUUUAAAUUUUAAAUUAUAAAGUGAAAUUUAAAUUUAAUUGAAAUUUAUUUAUUUUUAUGACAUUAAUAAAUUUUAUAAAAAACUAGGAUUAGAUACCCUAUUAUAAAAAUUUAAAUUUAAUAAUCUUAAAAUAGUAUAUAAUUUUUUAUAAAAACUUAAAUAAUUUGGCGGUAUUUUAGUUCAUUUAGAGGAAUCUGUCUAAUAAUUGAUAAUCCACGAUUAAAUUUACUUAAUUUUUAAUUUUGUAUAUCGUUGUUAAAAAAAUAUUUUUUAAUAAAAAUAAUAUUUUAAAAUUAAAAUAAAAAAUUAAAUCAGAUCAAGAUGCAGAUUAUAAUUAAGAAUAUGAUGGAUUACAAUAAAUUUAUUUUAUUUGGAUGUUAAUUUGAAAUAAAUUAAUUGAAAUUGGAUUUAAAUGUAAUUUUAUUAAUUUUAUUAAAAUGAUUUUAAAUUAAAAUAUGUACAUAUUGCCCGUCGCUUUCAUUUAUAAAUUGAAAUAAGUCGUAACAAAGUAGAGGUACUGGAAAGUGUUUCUAGAAAGAU
rnacentral:rRNA from 1 species